GAGUACAAAUUGUCUGAUAAUUGAACUAAAAGAUCCACAUCAAGUACUACCAUAUACGGUGACUCCGUGUAGUACAUUUGAAAGGAAGUGUUGGGUUUUUCGUGCUAUAAAUCAAGGAAUGAAGCCCCAGCUGCAUUCAUCGCCUAAGUUGAGCAAACGGAAGACAGAGGCGUACGAUUGUGGAGGAUUCCUACAGGAGCGACCUGGAAUCACAUGUGGGCUGCACCCUCCUGGGUUCUCUUGGGCAACAUGUGUUCUCAGGUCGCCCCUGCCGGGCUUUCCUCCAUAUGCUAGUUACUACAUUUCAGUGGUGCGCCCAACUCUGAUGGUGUGCUUUGUACCAUUGGAUCCUCGCCUAGUCCCUUGUAUUUUUUGUAUGGCAAUGCAAGCUCUUGAUAUUUUUUCGCUCUAGAAGUUAUGCUCCUGUUGUGUUGCUAAUACGGCACCUUGAACAAGAUAAGAGCAAUCACAUUGCCAGCAGAGUACAGACAAGAAUGAUGGGAAGUGAGAACAAACCUGAACAAAAUGCAUCACGAAAAUAUCAAAGUUGAUGCUAGGUCAUGUUUCCUCACAGCAUGCUCCACUCCCAUUGAAAAUUUAUCACUUUAGCCAGGAGUAAUAAAAGCAUGCCGAGUGCCUGGAAACCAGUUUGAGCCAUGCCGGGUUCUUUGCGGAAAUUCCAGUAAUUUCAUUUCCCAUAAGAAUGAGGUUGUUAAAGGGUUGCAGAUGAAUAUCAAUGAGAAUAAAUUGAGUAAAUAGGGCACCAUAAAGAAA